GUGGGGCUGGAUUAUAGGGUUGGAGGGGGCGUUUGGGACUGAGUUAUGGGGCUGGGGGGUUUUGGGGCUGAGUUGUGGGGCUGGGGGGAAACUUGGGGAGCUGGGGGACUGACUGAUGGGGUCUCUGUGGGUCGCUAUGGGGUCUCUAUGGCCUCUCUGUGCCUCUCUAUGGUCUCCACGUAUCCCUAAGGCCCCUCUAUCGUCUCUCUAUGUCCUCUCUAUGGUCCCCACGUAUCCCUGUGGCCGCUCUAUGUCCGCUCUCUGGCCCUCCUACGCUCUCUAUGGUCUCCAUGUAUCCCUAUGGCCUCCCUAUGGCCACUCUAUGGUCUCUCCAUGCUCUCUAUGUCCUCUCUAUGGCCUCCAUGUAUCCCUAUGGUCUCUCUAUGGCACUCUAUGGGCACUCUAUGUCCUCUCUAUGGUCUCCAUGUAUUCUUAUGGCCUCUCUAUGGCCUCUCUAUGCUGUCUGUGUCCUCCUUAUGGCUCUCUAUGUCCUCUCUAUGGUCCCCACGUAUCCCUGUGGCCCCUCUAUGGCCCUUCUAUGGCCACUCCAUAUCCUCUCUAUGGUCCCCACGUAUCCCUAUGGCCGCUCUAUGUCCCCUCUCUGGCCCUCCUACGCUCUCUAUGGUCUCCGUGUAUCCCUAUGGCCUCCCUAUGGCCACUCUACGACCACUCUACGUCCUCUCUAUGGUCCCCACGUAUCCCUGUGGCCGCUCUAUGUCCGCUCUCUGGCCCUCCUACGCUCUCUAUGGUGUCUCUAUGGUCCCCACGUGACCCUGCGUGCUGUGCGCCGUGCCGCCCUUCAGGUUCAGCUCCCGCACGAACAGCACGGAUCUGUACCACGUGACCCGGCGCCAUUGGAGCUCCCUGCGCUUCCGGGACGGCGCUUCCGGAGCGGCGCCCCCUACCGGCUUCCACAGCGCCGAACGCAUCGGCCGCUACAUGGUGCUGUUCGGGGGCAGCGUCCACCAGCACUACCAGCAGGAGCGGUGCUACGGGGACGGGAUUUUCUUCUACCACCUGGGCUGCCACCAGUGGGUGCCCGGCCCCACGCUGACACCCGGAGCUGGUGAGCCCCACAAGUGGGGGGGGGAUCUGUGGGGGGGGGGGUGACCCAUAGAUCGGGGUCUUGGGGGGGGGGGUGUGACCCAUAGAUUGGGUGGGGGGUGACCCAUAGAUGUGGGGUGACCCAUAGAUUGGGGUCUGGGGGGUGAGGGUGACCCAUAGAUGUGGGGUGACCCAUAGAUUGGGUGGGGGGUGACCCAUAGAUUGGAGUCUGGGGGGGGUGACCGAUAGAUGUGGGGUGACCCAUAGAUUGGGUUGAGGGGGGACCCAUAGAUGUGUGGGGUGACCCAUAGGUGUGGGGUGACCCAUAGAUUGGGAUCUGGGGGGUGAGGGUGACCCAUAGAUGUGGGGGGACCCAUAGAUUGGGGUCUGGGGUGACCCAUAGAUCUGGGGUGUGACCCAUAGAUGUGUGGGGUGCCCCAUAGAUUUGGGCCAACUGGGGGCCAUUUUUGCCCCAUUUCCCCCAAAUUUGGGGCUGAUUUCCCCCAUUUUUGCCCCAUUUCCCCCCAUUUCUUCGCAAUUUCCCCCAAUUUGGGGCUGAAUUCUUCCCAUUUUUGCCCCAUUUCCCCCAUUUUUGCCCCAUUUCCCCCAUUUUUGCCCCAUUUCCCCCCAUUUGUUCCCAAUUUCCCCCUUUUUGGGUCCAUUUGGGGCUGAUUUCCCCCAUUUUUGCCCCAUUUCCCCCAAUUUGGGUCCAUUUGGGGCUGAAUUCUCCCCAUUUUUUCCCCACUUCCCCCAUUUUUGCCCCACUUCCCCCAUUUCCCCCAUUUUUGCCCCAUUUCCCCCAUUUUUGCCCCAUUUCCCCCACCUUGGGGCCGAUUUCCCCCAUUUUGGGCUCAUUUCCUUCAAUUUGGGGCGGAUUUUCCCCGUUUGUGCCCCAUUUCCCCCAAUUUCUUCCUAAUUUCUUCUCAUUUGGGUCAAUUUGGGGUUGAAUUUCCCACUUUUGAGGCCCAUUUCCCCCAUUUUUUGCCCCAUUUCCCCCAAUUUGGGGCUGAUUUCCCCCCAUUUCCC
rnacentral:lncRNA from 1 species